rnacentral:misc_RNA from 1 species
AAGUCGUAACAAGGUUUCCGUAGGUGAACCUGCGGAAGGAUCAUUAACAAUGAUAUCCAUCAUACACCGUGAACCUUUUAAAAAUUUGAAAUUUCUGGGGAGGUAGAAAGCAAUUUCUAUUAUACCCAGAGAGCUUCAAUUUUAACCAUAACACUUCAAAUUUAUACUUAAAAUUGUUGAAAUAUUAAACAACUUUUAGCAACGGAUCUCUUGGUUCUC